GGUUGGUCCAAAGGUAGUGAGUUAUCUCAGUUGACUGUUCACAGUCAGUUACAGAUCAAACUCCUUGUUCUACGCUUUCCUCCAUCUCACUACGACUAGUCUUAA
ensembl:Y_RNA Y_RNA Y RNA